rnacentral:rRNA from 1 species
AGGAUGAACGCUAGCGGCGCGCUUAAUGCUUGCAAGUCGAACGAUGAGGCCCCUACGGGGGUACAUCAGUGGCAGACGGGUGAGUAACACGUAGGUAACCUGCCCUCGAGACGGGGAUAACGGCCGGAAACGGUCGCUAAGACCCGAUAUAGUCUGACCUUCGGGAGAAGGUGAGAGGAAAGGCUUCGGUGCUCGGGGGGGGGCCUGCGGCCAAUCAGCUAGUUGGAGAGGUAACGGCUCCCCAAGGCAAUGACGGGUAGGGGGUGUGAGAGCAUGGCCCCCCACACUGGGACUGAGACACGGCCCAGACUCCUACGGGAGGCAGCAGCAGGGAAUAUUGCGCAAUGGACGGAAGUCUGACGCAGCGACGCCGCGUGGAUKACGAAGCCUUCGGGUUGUAAAAUCCUUUUCCGGGCGAUGAGGAAGGACACUAGCCUGGGAAUAAGCGUCGGCUAACUACGUGCCARCAGCCGCGGUAAGACGUAGGACGCGAGCGUUAUCCGGAUUUACUGGGCGUAAAGCGCCUGCAGGCGGUCAGGUAAGUCGGUUGUGAAAGCCCCGUGCUCAACGCGGGGAGGCCAAGCGAUACUGCGUGACUUGAGGGCGGAAGAGGGGAGUGGAAUUCCCGGUGUAGCGGUAAAAUGCGCAGAUAUCGGGAGGAACACCAGUGGCGAAGGCGGCUCCCUGGACCGCACCUGACGCUAAGAGGCGAAAGCUAGGGGAGCGAACAGGAUUCGAUACCCUGGUAGUCAACGGGCG